CUGUGAUCCAUGUCUCCAGUUGUCAUCACACGGCACCGUCAUCGUCUUCCUUCUUCUCCUGUGUCGGCCAAAACCACAUUAAGCUACUGCUUAUAGAGAAGCUAAGAAUACAGUACAAAACUAUUCUGUGGAAUUGAAAGCAUCAUCAUUUAUGGCCAUGAACCAAGCGGCUGUGGUGAAGGUGGUUCUGGGGUUCAUGGCUCUGUGCUUGGCUGGCUACAUAUUGGGUCCUCCUCUCUACUGGCAUUUCAAGGAGGGCUUAGACGCCGUUAGUCACUCUUCCUCCGCUUGCUCUCCUUGCGUUUGUGAUUGCUCUUCUCAGCCUCUUCUCUCCAUCCCUCAAGGUCGUUCCUUUUUAAACAUGUUUUUUAAUCGUUUUGUUUCUUUCCAUUUAGAUCUACCUCGAUCCCAUCUUUUUUUCUUCUUUGAUUUUUAUUACCAUAUAAAAUUUCGCAAUUCCUUGUAUGGUUGUCCUGAUUUCCCCUUAGAAAUGUUGGGGUCGUUCUUUAUUUAUCAUUCCAAAAAGGCAAAAGGAAAUUCUGGAUUUAGAGAAAUCUAUGGUAGAUAUGUUGCUGUGGAGAAUUGUUGAUAAUUUUUGGUACAUUGGCACCAAUUCUUGGUUAAAUUCAAGAUCCUUCCUACAUAUGUUAAAUACAUGCUCUAUUGGUGUUGUAUGAUGGCUUCAUUGGUAGAUCAAAGUAUUAGAAGCUCAACAAUAUAGGAUGUGGUUUGGCAAUUGUUAUCAGUCGAGAUCAGAGUUAGAUUUCUUGCAGGACAUUGUAUUAGAUGAUACAAGUUCUUGUGGCACUAGUGAAGUGUGGCUCUUAGAUAAUUGUCUAUUGAGAAACACUAGUAACCUUCUUCAUUCAAUUAUUUUUGCAUAACAUAAAUUAUUUCCAUAGUUUCUCUUGGUGCAAGUUUCCUUGUUGUGUGAGUACGUGAAGUUCCUAUGAACCGUUUGAGACCACUGGCUGUUACAAUUGUUUAUUUGUGUAAAAGUGGAUCAAAUGGUUGAUUUGUCCAUGGUAGAUGCCUUUUUUGAUUCCUUCCUUGACAGUUAUCAGUAUGAUAUAUGCCCUUUAACCUUAGUGUUCUGCAAACUUUAAUAAAAGUCCUUUUUUGCUCUUGUUAUAAAGAGGGUUGCCAGUGUAGCAAUUUCUUGAAGCAAUUGAGGCAUUCAUGCCUCAGGCAUUGAUACGAUAAUUCAGAUCUAUAUGUGUUUUACUGUCUUUUUAAAUAUUUUGUCUGCAUAAAGCUGUAAUUUCCUGGUAAAGCAGAUGAAUACCAUGAUGCUUCAUUAUUUGGUGAUAAUAUGUGAAAUCAUCCAUGUUGAAGUGCUUGGUUUUUGGUCAUAACAAGUCGAAAUGUCUUUGAGAUUGAUGCUGAUCUUGUUAUGCUGCUCAUAAAGGUUCCUGUUUGUGUAUAUAUAUGUGCAUGUGUGCUUGUUUUGACUAAGGCUCUCAAUGUAAAAUCAUAAUAUGGGACUACAUCUCUGUGAGCUGUCCGCUAAAUGUCCUAGACACUUAAUUGUUUAACUGUGCUUGUUAGUUUUUUUUACGAGUUUAUUUGCUUUCUAAGCUUGCCUUACGUGUUCAAUUUGUUUGAUAGUCAAUCAUGCCUAUGCUUAAAGUUCUUGCUUUGUUUUGAUACAGGACUGAGCAAUGCUUCCUUUGCAGGUUAGUUUUCUUGUCAUGAAUUAACUUCAAAUAGAAUGAAAGUUCAUUGCUUGGCAAAAACUGAGUAAACUAAGCAUUAUUUUAUUUGAGGAAAAUUACAUUUAGUCUCCUUCAAACUGAGGCACAAAUUUGUAGAGCAUCUUCAUAUAUUUUGAAAUUACAGCUAGAACCCCUUAUUAUAGCUGUUGGCUACAUGGUGCCAUGGUGGUAGCAAAGGAUAAAUUCUGCAUAUUCCCCUCACUAAUCGGGGAUGUGGAUAUGUGAACACUGCAGAUUAAACUUAGAUGUGUUGAACUAAGAUUUAGGCCUACCUGAUGAUUUUUUUUUUGUAAUUAAACAAUUCAUUUUUAAUAUAUUUAAUAUUUCAAAUAGUAAUGCAAAUUGACAUGAUGCUGUCCAAAUUGCUCUUUCAAAACUUCAUAAUCUGCUUAUCUUAAGAUUUGAUAUUGAGGAUAAACAGAGUUGCAGUCUGGAAUCAAGAUUCAAGAUUUCUUAUUUCUGUUGGCAUACAUUGUGCAGAUUGUGCAAAGCGUGAUCCAGAGGUGAGUGAAGAUACAGAAAAGAACUUUGCAGAGCUACUGACAGAGGAACUGAAGCUGCGAGAGGCUGAAGCAUUAGAGAAUCAGCAGCGUGCUGACAUGGCUCUGCUUGAGGCUAAGAAGAUGACAUCCCAGUAUCAAAAGGAAGCAGACAAAUGCAAUUCUGGGAUGGAGACCUGUGAAGAAGCAAGGGAAAAAGCUGAAGCUGCAUUAGCAGCACAAAAGAAAUUGACAGCUAUGUGGGAGUCGAGAGCUCGUCAAAGAGGAUGGAAAGAAGGGAUUGCCAGGUCUCACUGACUCAGGGAAAAGUUGAGUCCUUGUAGUAUAUUCAUUGUGGCUUCAUAUAUAAAGAUAUUAUGUAUCCUAUGGUGCUCUGCUAUGCUAGUUAUGAUGAAAAUUCACAGAUCUCAUAGUGAAAUUGGCGUGGUACAAAAAUCUGAUUUAGUUCUCAAUUUAGCAUUCAAGUAUAGAUAACUUUGUUGCUAGGAUGCCUUCUGAAGCAAAUAUGUUAAAAGGCCAAAUUUCUUAUGAUUUGCUACAAAUGUUUAGUGAUGUUUCUCUGGUAAAAUCUGGAAGUAGAAGGUGAUUUAUUUUUGUCAGAACUCAGAACGGACAAGAUACGUUAGUGAGCCAAGUAAUCAAGUUGUAUUUGAACAAAUUAAUUUCUUAUUAUUACUUAUUUUCCUAUCUCAUAUAAUGUGAAAUUCAUGUUUUUCAAUCUCCAAAACAUGUCCUCACUUUCACUUCUUGGUUGAAAGCUCCAUCCUUGUUUUUAGAGAGUUUAGUUGCAGUAGAGGUACUUGGCUUCUUUCUACUUUUGGGUUAAGAGUAUCGAAGGACGCAUUAUAUUCGAGCUUCUAUGAAGGACGCAUUUGCAAGGCUCGGUUAUUGUAGGAUUCUAUAUUUUGUCUUCCCUAAUCUUUAUUACUACACAUAUAAAUGUCUCAUAUCCUUAUAGUUAUUUAUGAAUUACAGAUGAUAGAAGAUGUAAGCGAUAUGAGUGCGAAUGUGGAAGUGAAACAUGAGGCCAGCUGGGCUCUUCGCCAAUGGCUAAAGAAACAGAGGAUUUGGCCUUGAGAGAGAGAGGGAAAGUUCUAGUCUGACACUGAAGAAAUGGCAACCAAUUGUAGCUAGUGUUGCCGCUGUAACGCUACGCCACUGCUAUGGGACAGUGUUGAAGCAGCAUCUUCCCGGGAUGUCCAUGCUCAAUGGUGAGUCAGUUGAAGUAUUGCAGAGGGCUGGAAAGCUGGAAAAAUUUUUGGUUCAAAUGGUGGUUCGAGACUCAGCAGAUUGUGAAGAUGGAGGCAAAACAAUCGUGCGAGAGAUGGUUCCAUUGAAGUUGAUUCAGUCAUAAUGAGGAUCAUGAGACAACGGAUUGAUGAAAGGAUGAAAAGAGGAGAGAAUGUUUUCUCCAAGUGAGAGAUUCUGAAGUACGUUCUCGUGUUAAUUUGUACGACAAAAUAGUUAUAACAUUUAUGCUUAUAAAAAUACUAAUAAGGUACCUUUCAUUUUAUGUCAAACUACUAUAGAGUGAAUGGUGCAAUCUUUAUUAGAGACAUGGAAUCCUAAGUCCAAAAACAAGCCAUAUACGCAGUCAGUUGUGGAGUUGUUGAAAUUAGUCAAGGAAACAGUCGCUCAAUUCUUUGAAAUUCCUGUUGGAAUCACUGAUGAUCUCAUUUGUGAUCUCGUUGAAGUUUAAAGCAUCUCUUCCUAUAAUAUAUCAAAUUUGUAGAAGCUUG
rnacentral:misc_RNA from 1 species